rnacentral:rRNA from 1 species
CAAUAGCGUAUAUUAAAGUUGUUGCAGUUAAAAAGCUCGUAGUUGGAUUUCGGGGCAGCCUGGCUGGUCCGCCGCAAGGCGAGUACUGGUCAGCCGCCCUUCCUCUCGAAAGCCCCGACUGCUCUUCGUUGCAGUGGUCGGGUAGUUCGGGACGUUUACUUUGAAGAAAUUAGAGUGUUCAAGGCAGGCCUACGCCUGAAUACAUUAGCAUGGAAUAAUGGAAGAGGACCUCGGUCCUAUUUUGUUGGUUUCCAGGGCCGAAGUAAUGAUUAAGAGGGACAGUUGGGGGCAUUCGUAUUUAAUUGUCAGAGGUGAAAUUCUCGGAUUUAUGAAAGACGAACAACUGCGAAAGCAUUUGCCAAGGAUGUUUUCAUUAA